rnacentral:rRNA from 1 species
CAGCCGCCGCGGGAAUACGAAGGGGGCUAGCGUUGUUCGGAUUUACUGGGCGUAAAGGGCGCGUAGGCGGACUGAUAAGUCAGGGGUGAAAUCCCAAGGCUCAACCUUGGAACUGCCUUUGAUACUGUUUGUCUUGAGUUCGAGAGAGGUAGGUGGAACUGCGAGUGUAGAGGUGAAAUUCGUAAAUAUUCGCAAGAACACCAGUGGCGAAGGCGGCUUACUGGCUCGAUACUGACGCUGAGGCGCGAAAGCGUGGGGAGCAAACAGGAUUAGAUACCCGCGUAGUCCCUGUCUCUUAUAC